UACGAGGGGGGCAAAUGUUGUUCGGAAUCACUGGGCGUAAAGGGAGCGUAGGCGGGUUUUUAAGUCAGGUGUUUAAUCCCGGGGCCCAACCCCGGACAGGCACUUGAAACUGGGAAUCUUGAAUAGUGGAGAGGUCAGUGGAAUUGGGGGUGUAGCGGUGGAAUGCGUAGAGAUCCCCAAGAACACCCGUUGCGAAGGCGGCCGACUGGACACAUAUUGACGCUGAGGCUCGAAAGCAUGGGGAGCAAACAGG
rnacentral:rRNA from 1 species